AUUGAACGCUGGCGGCAGGCCUAACACAUGCAAGUCGAGCGGAUGAAGGGAGCUUGCUCCUGGAUUCAGCGGCGGACGGGUGAGUAAUGCCUAGGAAUCUGCCUGGUAGUGGGGGAUAACGUCCGGAAACGGGCGCUAAUACCGCAUACGUCCUGAGGUAGAACGUGGGGGAUCUUCGGACCUCACGCUAUCAGAUGAGCCUAGGUCGGAUUAGCUAGUUGGUGGGGUAAAGGCCUACCAAGGCGACGAUCCGUAACUGGUCUGAGAGGAUGAUCAGUCACACUGGAACUGAGACACGGUCCAGACUCCUACGGGAGGCAGCAGUGGGGAAUAUUGGACAAUGGGCGAAAGCCUGAUCCAGCCAUGCCGCGUGUGUGAAGAAGGUCUUCGGAUUGUAAAGCACUUUAAGUUGGGAGGAAGGGCAGUAAGUUAAUACCUUGCUGUUUUGACGUUACCAACAGAAUAAGCACCGGCUAACUUCGUG
rnacentral:rRNA from 1 species